rnacentral:rRNA from 1 species
UGAGGAAUAUUGGUCAAUGGACGGAAGUCUGAACCAGCCAAGUAGCGUGCAGGAUGACGGCCCUAUGGGUUGUAAACUGCUUUUGUAUGGGGAUAAAGUUAGGGACGUGUCCCUAUUUGCAGGUACCAUACGAAUAAGGACCGGCUAAUUCCGUGCCAGCAGCCGCGGUAAUACGGAAGGUCCAGGCGUUAUCCGGAUUUAUUGGGUUUAAAGGGAGCGUAGCUGGAGAUUAAGUGUGUUGUGAAUGUAGACGCUCAACGUCUGAUGCNNCGCAUACUGUUCUGAGUACGCANACGUGGNNAUCNCGUGACGUGAUGUAGANUGACCAAAAAACUCCAAUGGGAAGCACUUAACGGGACCGCACCUGACCUUAAGCCUCAAAGGUCGGGGUAUCAAACAAAAUAAAAAUCCCUGGGGUGUCCGCCAAAGUAAACAAGGGAUGCCCGCUGUUUGGUCCCUGUUUUAGNGGGUAAGGCAAAGNCUUUAGACUCCCCCCCUGGGGGGUNCCCNGGCACGGUU